rnacentral:rRNA from 1 species
GAUGAACGCUGGCGGCGUGCCUAAUACAUGCAAGUCGACCGUAGCGGGGACGGGUGAGUAACACGUCAGUAACCUCCUAUAAGACUGGGAUAACUUCCGGAAAACGGACCUAAACCGGCUACUUUUAGAUGGAUCCGGGCGGCAUUAGUUAGUUGGUAAGGUAACGGCUUACCAAGGCAACGAUGCAUAGCCGACCUGAGAGGGUGAUCGGCCACACUGGAACUGAGACACGGUCCAGACUCCUACGGGAGGCAGCAGUAGGGAAUGUUCCGCAAUGGGCGAAAGCCUGACGGAGCAACGCCGCGUGAGUGAGGAAGGGCUUCGGAUCGUAAAACUCUUUUAUGAGGGAAGCGGUACCUAAUCAGAAAGCCACGGCUAACUACGUGCCAGCAGCCGCGGUAAUAC